rnacentral:rRNA from 1 species
AUUGAACGCUGGCGGCCGGCCUAACACAUGCAAGUCGAACGAGUGGCGGACGGGUGAGUAAUGUCUGGGAAACUGCCCUAUGGAUGGGGAUAACUACUGUAAACGGUAGCUAAUACCGCAUACCCUCGUAUGUGCCCAUAUGGGAUUAGCUAGUAGGUGGGGUAACGGCUCACCUGGGCGACGAUCCCUAGCUGGUCUGAGAGGAUGACCAGCCACACUGGAACUGAGACACGGUCAAGACGCCUACGGGAGGCAGCAGUGGGGAAUAUUGCACAAUGGGCGCAAGCCGGAUGCAGCCAUGCCGCGUGUAUGAAGAAGGCCUUCGGGUUGUAAAGUACUUUCAGCGGGGAGGCGUUACCCGCAGAAGAAGCACCGGCUAACUCCGUGCCAGCCGCCGCGGUAAUAC